rnacentral:rRNA from 1 species
UACGGGGGGGGCAAGCGUUGUUCGGAAUUACUGGGCGUAAAGGGCUCGUAGGCGGCCAACUAAGUCAGACGUGAAAUCCCUCGGCUUAACCGGGGAACUGCGUCUGAUACUGGAUGGCUUGAGUUCGGGAGAGGGAUGCGGAAUUCCAGGUGUAGCGGUGAAAUGCGUAGAUAUCUGGAGGAACACCGGUGGCGAAGGCGGCAUCCUGGACCGGCAUUGACGCUGAGGAGCGGAAGCUAGGGGAGCAAACGGG